GACUAAGCGUACACGGUGGAUGCCCUGGCAGUCAGAGGCGAUGAAGGACGUGCUAAUCUGCGAAAAGCGUCGGUAAGGUGAUAUGAACCGUUACAGCCGGCGAUGUCCGAAUGGGGAAACCCAGUGCAAUUCGUUGCACUAUCGUUAACUGAAUACAUAGGUUAACGAGGCGAACCGGGGGAACUGAAACAUCUAAGUACCCCGAGGAAAAGAAAUCAACCGA
rnacentral:rRNA from 1 species